rnacentral:rRNA from 1 species
GUAGGUGGCAAGCGUUGUCCGGAAUUAUUGGGGCGUAAAGCGCGCGCAGGCGGUCCUUUAAGGUCUGAUGUGAAAGCCCACGGGCUCAACCGUGGAGGGUCAUUGGAAACUGGGGGACUUGAGUACAGAAGAGGAAAGUGGAAUUCCACGUGUAGCGGUGAAAUGCGUAGAGAUGUGGAGGAACACCAGUGGCGAAGGCGACUUUCUGGUCUGUAACUGACGCUGAGGCGCGAAAGCGUGGGGAGCAAACAGGAUUAGAUACCCUGGUAGUCCACGCCGUAAACGAUGAGUGCUAAGUGUUAGAGGGUUUCCGCCCUUUAGUGCUGCAGCUAACGCAUUAAGCACUCCGCCUGGGGAGUACGGCCGCAAAGGCUG